GACAGAGGGUGCAAACGUUGUUCGGAAUUACUGGGCGUAAAGCGCGUGUAGGCGGCUCGGCAAGUCGGGUGUGAAAGCCCUGGGCUUAACCUAGGAAGUGCACUCGAAACUGCCAAGCUUGAGUUCUGGAGAGGAAGGCGGAAUUCUCGGUGUAGAGGUGAAAUUCGUAGAUAUCAAGAGGAACACCGGUGGCGAAGGCGGCCUUCUGGACAGGAACUGACGCUGAGACGCGAAAGCGUGGGGAGCAAACAGG
rnacentral:rRNA from 1 species